ACUCCUACGGGAGGCAGCAGUGGGGAAUAUUGCACAAUGGGCGCAAGCCUGAUGCAGCCAUGCCGCGUGUAUGAAGAAGGCCUUCGGGUUGUAAAGUACUUUCAGUCAGUGAGGGAAGGAGUGGGUAUGUUAAUAGCAUACUCAUUUGACGUUAGCUGCAGAAGAAGCACCGGCUAACUCCGUGCCAGCAGCCGCGGUAAUACGGAGGGUGCGAGCGUUAAUCGGAAUUACUGGGGCGUAAAGCGGACAUGCAGGUGGUUUGUUAAGUCAGAUGUGAAAGCCCGGGGCUCAACCUCGGAAUUGCAUUUGAAACUGGCAAACUAGAGUACUGUAGAGGGGGGUAGAAUUUCAGGUGUAGCGGUGAAAUGCGUAGAGAUCUG
rnacentral:rRNA from 1 species